AAGUCGUAACAAGGUAACAAGUCCAAACAUUACAAUCCCCACGUGAAUCCUCCUGCUUCGAAGGUUGCAAUCUCUGGUAAAUAAGAUUCAGAGACCUCUCAGAGGCCUGUGAGGAUAUUGGAACAGUUACAAUUUUGCGCGGUACUUCUAGAGGCCUUGUUUCCCAAGCAGUCAGUGUCUGAAAGUGUCAUUGAUUGUGCUAGGAUCAAUGUAUUACAUUGGGUAAAAGCCAUAUCUUGGUUCUC
rnacentral:misc_RNA from 1 species